rnacentral:rRNA from 1 species
AGAUUGAACGCUAGCGGGAUGCUUUACACAUGCAAGUCGAACGGCAGCGCGGACUUCGGUCUGGCGGCGAGUGGCGAACGGGUGAGUAAUAUAUCGGAACGUGCCCAGUAGCGGGGGAUAACUACGCGAAAGCGUGGCUAAUACCGCAUACGUCCUACGGGAGAAAGCGGGGGACCUUCGGGCCUCGCGCCAUUAGAUGAGCCUAGGUCGGAUUAGCUAGUUGGUGAGGUAAUGGCUCACCAAGGCGACGAAUCCGUAACUGGUCUGAGAGGAUGAUCAGUCACACUGGAACUGAGACACGGUCCAGACUCCUACGGGA